GUUGUAUAGUUAAGUGACUAAGCGUACAAGGUGGAUGCCUUGGCAAUCAGAGGCGAAGAAGGACGUGCUAAUCUGCGAAAAGCUUGGAUGAGUCGAUAAGAGGCGUUUAAUCCAAGAUAUCCGAAUGGGGAAACCCAGUAGAUGAAGAAUCUACUAUCAACAAGUGAAUUCAUAGCUUGUUGAGGCAAACCGGGAGAACUGAAACAUCUAAGUACCCCGAGGAAAAGAAAUCAACCGAGAUUUCGUCAGUAGCGGCGAGCGAAAGCGAAAGAGCCAGUAAGUGAUAGCAGUAUAGUGAGGAGAAUGUGUUGGGAAACACAAUCAAAGAGGGUGAUAAUCCCGUAUCUAAAAACCAUAUUGUGGUACUAAGCUAACGAGAAGUAGGGCGGGACACGUGAUAUCCUGUUUGAAGAAGGGGGGCCCAUCCUCCAAGGCUAAAUACUCCUGAUUGACCGAUAGUGAACCAGUACUGUGAAGGAAAGGCGAAAAGAACCCCGGUGAGGGGAGUGAAAUAGAACCUGAAACCUUGUACGUACAAGCAGUGGGAGCCCCAUCACUUAAUCCGAUUGGAAGGUGAUGAAAAGCAACCGCACUUAAACAAUGGUAAGAGGAGCGAAGCGAGUCAAACCACCCAAAAGAAGCAGUGGGAUUAAGUGAUGGGGUGACUGCGUACCUUUUGUAUAAUGGGUCAGCGACUUAUAUUUUGUAGCGAGGUUAACUGAAUAAGGGAGCCGAAGGGAAACCGAGUCUUAACUGGGCGAAUAGUUGCAAGGUAUAGACCCGAAACCCGGUGAUCUAGCCAUGGGCAGGUUGAAGGUUGGGUAACACUAACUGGAGGACCGAACCGACUAAUGUUGAAAAAUUAGCGGAUGACUUGUGGCUGGGGGUGAAAGGCCAAUCAAACCGGGAGAUAGCUGGUUCUCCCCGAAAUCUAUUUAGGUAGAGCCUUGAGGUGACACCUUUGGGGGUAGAGCACUGUUUCGGCUAGGGGUCCAUCCCGGAUUACCAACCCGAUGCAAACUACGAAUACCAAAGAGUGAUACUCAGGAGACACACGGCGGGUGCUAACGUCCGUCGUGGAGAGGGAAACAACCCAGACCGCCAGCUAAGGUCCCCAAGUCUAUAUUAAGUGGGAAACGAAGUGGGAAGGCUUAGACAGCUAGGAUGUUGGCUUAGAAGCAGCCAUCAUUUAAAGAAAGCGUAAUAGCUCACUAGUCGAGUCGGCCUGCGCGGAAGAUGUAACGGGGCUGAAAUAUAGCACCGAAGCUGCGGCAUCAGGCGUAUCACUAAUACGCCUUACGAUUAACAAGCUAGAAUGGCGCGAAGCGUCAUGAAAGGUUGUUCAAGCAACCCGAACGUUGAGUCGGGCAUCUUAGAGUAAGGAUGAUUAGUGAUACGCCUGUUGGGUAGGGGAGCGUUGUGUAAGCGGAAGAAGGUUGAUCGAGAGGUGGGCUGGACGUAUCACAAGUGCGAAUGCUGACAUAAGUAACGAUAAAACGGGUGAAAAACCCGUUCGCCGGAAGACCAAGGGUUCCUGUCCAACGUUAAUCGGGGCAGGGUGAGUCGGCUCCUAAGGCGAGGCUGAAAAGCGUAGUCGAUGGGAAACAGGUUAAUAUUCCUGUACUUGGUAAAGCUGCGAUGUGGGGACGGAGUAGGUUAGGUUAUCGCACUGUUGGAUAUGUGCGUUUAAGUUGGUAGGUGGGAAGUUUAGGCAAAUCCGGACUUCCUUAACACAGAGAGAUGAUGACGAGGCUCUACGGAGCUGAAGUAACUGAUACCACACUUCCAGGAAAAGCCACUAAGCGAAAGGCUUUACUAAACCGUACUGAAAACCGACACAGGUGGUCAGGUAGAGAAUACUCAGGCGCUUGAGAGAACUCGGGUGAAGGAACUAGGCAAAAUAGCACCGUAACUUCGGGAGAAGGUGCGCCGGCGUAGAUUGUAAGGGCUAGCCCCUGAAGGUUGAACCGGUCGAAGAUACCAGCUGGCUGCAACUGUUUAUUAAAAACACAGCACUCUGCAAACACGAAAGUGGACGUAUAGGGUGUGAUGCCUGCCCGGUGCUGGAAGGUUAAUUGAUGGUGUCAU
rnacentral:rRNA from 1 species